rnacentral:tmRNA from 1 species
GGGGACGUAUUUUGGUUUCGACAGUAUUCCAGAAGUAUCAGUAGCGAGUAGUGGAUUCUCACUUGGCCACUUAAAUAAUGUGAGAAAUAAAAAUAAACGCUGAUAAUAGAGAAUUAGCAUACGCUGCCUAAUUGCAGCGACGUCUUACUUUAAGUGUCCACGCUUUUAGAUAAGGCGACGACUAGUGGGAAACGAAUCUGCUUUUAGUCAUGGGAGUAGGGGGUAAUUUAAAUGACUACUUACUUUAUAACCUUGUUUGUUAAGUUAUAAAAUAAGGAAUAAACGAUAACAAACUGCACUCGGAGAAACUGAUAUGGAAAGAAUAUUGGACAGGAGUUCGACUCUCCUCGUCUCCACCA